rnacentral:misc_RNA from 1 species
CUGGAGGUCUCGCCGGAGUUUUGAAGCAAAUAAGAAUACUGUAGAUAAUUCUCGAGGGCAUCUUGCGGGGGUGCCACCAUUGGAGACGGCGCUAAAUGAGCGGCCGGCGGCAAAGACGACGGUGGAAAAGCAGAGACGAAUUCAGGGAAGUUGAGCUUGGCUUUGCUGCCUCGGAAGCGCAAGGCAGCGCCGUCGUAGGCUCGGGCGGCAGCCUCCGCGGUGUCGAAAGUGCCGAGCCAGACUCGGGCGGCUUUCUGAGGGUCACGGAUUUCGGCAGCCCAUUUUCCCCAUGGCCUCUGUCUUACUCCUCUGUAUCUUCUUGUUUUCUCCACGCCGGAAAAUGCUAUCGUCGUGGUAGCCGCCGUUGUUGCCGCCGUCACGGCGGAGAUAUUGUUACUUGAACUUAAACCUCCUUCUUCUUUUACGAAAAUUGCAGGGGAGGGCAUGGAAUAACUUUGUAUUGCUCUGAAGUCCACAAUUCCACCUCUAUUCCUUUCCCACAUUAUUCCACUUUCUCCUUCUUCUUCCCUCUCUCUUUUCCUACAACCCCCCGCCGUCGCCACCGCUACCGUUGUCGGAGCAGCAGAGCCAGACGAAUAACCAACCCCAGAUGGAUCAGCAGCGCCGCCGGAAAUGACAUGAGUCAAAGCCGAUACCAUGGCCAUUAACUCCCCCGCCGACGACGAGAACAUCCCCUCCAGCUCGUCUCCGCCGCCGUCGCCGCCCUGUUUCGCCAGCUUCAGGUAGCACAUGAAAUCCAGAUAGAAA